GUCUUUGGCCAUACCACCCUGAAUGCACCAGAUCUUGUCUGAUCUUGGAAGCUAAGCAGGGUCAGGCCUGGUUAGUAUUGGAUGGGAGACUGCCUGGGAAUACCAGGUGGUGUAGGCU
ensembl:rRNA 5S_rRNA 5S ribosomal RNA